CCUACGGGAGGCAGCAGUGGGGAAUAUUGGUCAAUGGGCGCAAGCCUGACCCAGCAACGCCGCGUGAAGGAAGAAGGCUCUCGGGUUGUAAACUUCUUUUGUCAGGGAAGAGUAGAAGACGGUACCUGACGAAUAAGCCACGGCUAACUACGUGCCAGCAGCCGCGGUAAUACGUAGGUGGCAAGCGUUGUCCGGAUUUACUGGGUGUAAAGGGCGUGUAGCCGGGUUGACAAGUCAGAUGUGAAAUCCUGCGGCUUAACCGCAGAACUGCAGUUGAAACUGUUGAUCUUGAGUACUGGAGAGGCAGAUGGAAUUCCUGGUGUAGCGGUGAAAUGCGUAGAUAUUAGGAAGAACACCAGUGGCGAAGGCGGUCUGCUGGACAGCAACUGACGGUGAGGCGCGAAAGCGUGGGGAGCAAACAGGAUUAGAUACCCCAGUAGUC
rnacentral:rRNA from 1 species